AUUGAACGCUGGCGGCAUGCCUUACACAUGCAAGUCGAACGGUAACAGGUCUUCGGAUGCUGACGAGUGGCGAACGGGUGAGUAAUACAUCGGAACGUGCCCGAUCGUGGGGGAUAACGAAGCGAAAGCUUUGCUAAUACCGCAUAAGAUCUACGGAUGAAAGCAGGGGACCGCAAGGCCUUGCGCGAACGGAGCGGCCGAUGGCAGAUUAGGUAGUUGGUGGGAUAAAAGCUUACCAAGCCGACGAUCUGUAGCUGGUCUGAGAGGACGACCAGCCACACUGGGACGGAGACACGGCCCAGACUCCUACGGGAGGCAGCAGUGGGGAAUUUUGGACAAUGGGCGAAAGCCUGAUCCAGCCAUGCCGCGUGCAGGAUGAAGGCCUUCAGGUUGUAAACUGCUUUUGUACGGAACGAAAAGACUCUUUCUAAUAAAGAGGGUCCAUGACGGUACCGUAAGAAUAAGCACCGGCUAACUACGUGCCAGCCGCCGCCGUAA
rnacentral:rRNA from 1 species